ensembl:lncRNA
CUUCUUCUAUCGGACCCUCAAUCUACCUGAAUGCUGUCGCUCCUUUUGUCCAGCUUCCCUUUGGCUGAGGGAGGCGUGAGAAUUCGGUCCAAGGACCUCCAGACAGGAGCUGCUGCGUUAGAAGCCAACAUGUCUUCCUCCAGUCAUUCACCGGUCAGCAGGACUGCUGCGUCCAACCUGACGUCCAACCCCGUGUCCUCCAGCACAGAGAGGACACCGACCUCCUCAUGGACCGUCAGCUCUGACCAAUCAUCCACAACCACAGCAACAUCCAGUCAAACACCAGCAAGAACAGAAACAUCCAGCCAAUCACCAAGCAGCACAGAACAAGACAGCCAAUCACCAGGCAGUACAGCACCAGCCAGCCAAUCAGCAACCAAGACAGCACAAUCCAACCAAUCACAAACCAGCCCAGGAUCAGCUAGCCAAUCGCAAGGAAGCACGACACAAACCAGCCAAUCAUCAGGACGCACAACACAAACCAGCCAAUCUCCAACCACUACAGCACAAACCAGCCAAUUAACCAGCAGUUCAACACAAAGUAGCCGAUCUUCAACCAUCACAACACCAGAUAGCCCAACAUCAUAUAGCCCAGCAACAUCCAGUCAAUCACCAUCUAUCACAGCAUCAGCCAGCCAAUCAACAGGCAGCACAACACACACCAGCCAAUCACCAGAACGUACAACACACACCAGCAAAUCACCUGAGCGCACAACACAAACCAGUCAAUCAUCAGGACGUAUAACACAAACUAGCCAAUCUCGAACCACCACAAAACAAGUCAGCCAACCAUCAGCUAGCCCAGUACAAGCUAACCAAUCGCAAGCCAAUGAAGCACAAUCUGUUCAGUCGCCGACAAAUGCAGGACUUCCUAGCCAAUCACCAACCAUCACAGGUUCAGCCAGCCAAUCAACAAGUAGAACAACACCAUCCAGCCAUUCACCAACAAGCACACCAAAAUCCAGCCAAUCACCAACCAAUGUACAACCAAUGUAUAACCACUCACCACCCACAUUAAUAGCAGCUAAUCAAUCCAAAAACAGCUCAAAAACUUCACUCCACGUAUCAUCCAGUUUAACAUCACAUAUCCAGUCAAAUUCACCACCAUCUGACCAAUCCCUGACCAGUGCAGUACCAUCAAACCAAUCAUCAACUGGUUCAGUGUCACCAGCCAACUCAGUUAGUGGAGUCUUUUCACCAGAUGAGCAUCCAGUUAAUAUUUCACAGCUCACCAGGCAGGCGAAGGAAGCCUUGAAGUCAUCGCUUCGUAGGACUCCAGGUAGGUUUAUAUGGAUGAAAUCUAAAUAUGGUUCAUAGGGGUGUUAAAUGAAUGCAGAUGACAUUUAAUUUGGACAUGUGAAAUUUCAAAACUCAGUCCUUCCAGAUGAUGCAAUUAGGGAAAAGACUGAGGUCUGACAACAUUUGUUUGUAUCAUUUUUCAGUCUGAAUCCCUCAGACUCCAGACAUAAAACCACUGCCUUAUUCAAAUAGUUCUUAUGGCAUAAAUGUAAAAAAAAAGAGAGAGAAAAUCCAGGUGGCAAGUCUAUUAUUCCUGACCUGAACACAUUUACAACAUAUCUGAAGCUGUAGACCAGACAGGCAUUCUUGCUAAAGAGGUCCAACAUUUUCACAGCUACCUCCAGAUGCCAUUCUGAGCCACUAAAUCAUUUUGUAAUGUGGCUUUAAACAGAGCAACAUUUCCUCAUCACAGACUGAACAGAAGGAAAUUAGCUUUUAUUUGAUUCAUUAACCCCCC